CCUACGGGUGGCAGCAGUGGGGAAUAUUGCACAAUGGGGGGAACCCUGAUGCAGCGACGCCGCGUGAGUGAAGAAGUAUUUCGGUAUGUAAAGCUCUAUCAGCAGGGAAGAAGAUGACGGUACCUGACUAAGAAGCCCCGGCUAACUACGUGCCAGCAGCCGCGGUAAUACGGAGGGGGCAAGCGUUAUCCGGAUUUACUGGGUGUAAAGGGAGCGUAGACGGGAGGGCAAGUCUGGAGUGAAAGCCCGGGGCCCAACCCCGGGACUGCUUUUGAAACUGCCAUGCUAGAGUGCUGGAGAGGUAGGCGGAAUGCCUGGUGUAGCGGUGAAAUGCGUAGAUAUUAGGAAGAACACCAGUGGCGAAGGCAGCUUACUAAACAGUAACUGACGUUGAGGCUCGAAAGCGUGGGGAGCAAACAGGAUUAGAUACCCCUGUAGUC
rnacentral:rRNA from 1 species